rnacentral:rRNA from 1 species
UAGGGAAUCUUGCGCAAUGGGCGAAAGCCUGACGCAGCGACGCCGCGUGCGGGACGAAGGCCCUCGGGUUGUAAACCGCUUUCAGCAGGGACGAAGCGAAAGUGACGGUACCUGCAGAAGAAGGUCCGGCCAACUACGUGCCAGCAGCCGCGGUAAUACGUAGGGACCGAGCGUUGUCCGGAUUCAUUGGGCGUAAAGAGCUCGUAGGCGGCUGCUCAAGUCGAAUGUGAAAACUCGAGGCUCAACCUCGAGCCUGCAUUCGAUACUGGGCGGCUAGAGUCUGGUAGGGGGAUCUGGAAUUCCUGGUGUAGCGGUGGAAUGCGCAGAUAUCAGGAGGAACACCGGUGGCGAAGGCGGGAUCCUGGGCCAGUACUGACGCUGAGGAGCGAAAGCGUGGGGAGCAAACAG